GGCUACCGCUAUUGGAGUUCGAUUAAGCCAUGCGAGUCGAGAGUCCUCGGGACUCGGCGUACCGCUCAGUAACACGUGGGUAACCUGCCCUAUGCUGGGGAAUAACCUCGGGAAACUGAGAAUAAUGCCCCAUAGCCCACUACGCCUGGAACGGUGAGUGGGUCAAAGCCCCGGCGGCAUAGGAUGGGCCUGCGCCGUAUCAGGUUGUAGGGGGUGUAAAGUACCCUCUAGCCAUCAACGCGUACGGGUGUUGGGAGACAUUGCCCGGAGAUGGAUUCUGAGACACGAAUCCAGACCCUACGGGGUGCAGCAGGCGCGAAAACUUGGCAAUGCGAGAAAUCGUGACCAGGGAACUCCAAGUGCGUAGGGUAAGACCUACGCUUUUCUUGACUCUUCAAAGGUCUUGGAAUAAGGGGUGGGUAAGGACGGUGCCAGCCGCCGCGGUAAUACCGGCGCCUCAAGUGGUAGUCGCUUUUAUUGGGCCUAAAACGUCCGUAGCCGGUCUGGUGCAUUCGUGGGUAAAUCAACCCGCUCAACGGGUUGAAUUCUGCGAGCACGGCCAGACUUGGGACCGGGAGAGGUGUGGGGUACUCUCAGGGUAGGGGUAAAAUCCUGUCAUCCUGAGAGGACCACCUGUUGCGAAGGCGCCACACUAGAACGGAUCCGACGGUCAGGGACGAAACCUAGGGGCACGAACCGGAUUAGAUACCCGGGUAGUCCUAGGUGUAAACGCUGUGGACUUGAUGUUGGGGGCGCUCCGAGCGCUCUCAGUGUCGAAGCGAAGGUGAUAAGUCCACUGCCUGGGGAGUACGGUCGCAAGGCUGAAACUUAAAGGAAUUGGCGGGGGAGCACUGCAACCUGAGGAUUGUGCGGUUU
rnacentral:rRNA from 2 species